rnacentral:rRNA from 1 species
ACAGCCCCGUACACAAAAAUGCACAUGCUGUGAGCUCGAUGAGUAGGGCGGGACACGUGGUAUCCUGUCUGAAUAUGGGGGGACCAUCCUCCAAGGCUAAAUACUCCUGACUGACCGAUAGUGAACCAGUACCGUGAGGGAAAGGCGAAAAGAACCCCGGCGAGGGGAGUGAAAAAGAACCUGAAACCGUGUACGUACAAGCAGUGGGAGCACGCUUAGGCGUGUGACUGCGUACCUUUUGUAUAAUGGGUCAGCGACUUAUAUUCUGUAGCAAGGUUAACCGAAUAGGGGAGCCGAAGGGAAACCGAGUCUUAACUGGGCGUUAAGUUGCAGGGUAUAGACCCGAAACCCGGUGAUCUAGCCAUGGGCAGGUUGAAGGUUGGGUAACACUAACUGGAGGACCGAACCGACUAAUGUUGAAAAAUUAGCGGAUGACUUGUGGCUGGGGGUGAAAGGCCAAUCAAACCGGGAGAUAGCUGGUUCUCCCCGAAAGCUAUUUAGGUAGCGCCUCGUGAAUUCAUCUCCGGGGGUAGAGCACUGUUUCGGCAAGGGGGUCAUCCCGACUUACCAACCCGAUGCAAACUGCGAAUACCGGAGAAUGUUAUCACGGGAGACACACGGCGGGUGCUAACGUCCGUCGUGAAGAGGGAAACAACCCAGACCGCCAGCUAAGGUCCCAAAGUCAUGGUUAAGUGGGAAACGAUGUGGGAAGGCCCAGACAGCCAGGAUGUUGGCUUAGAAGCAGCCAUCAUUUAAAGAAAGCGUAAUAGCUCACUGGUCGAGUCGGCCUGCGCGGAAGAUGUAACGGGGCUAAACCAUGCACCGAAGCUGCGGCAGCGACGCUUAUGCGUUGUUGGGUAGGGGAGCGUUCUGUAAGCCUGUGAAGGUGUACUGUGAGGUAUGCUGGAGGUAUCAGAAGUGCGAAUGCUGACAUAAGUAACGAUAAAGCGGGUGAAAAGCCCGCUCGCCGGAAGACCAAGGGUUCCUGUCCAACGUUAAUCGGGGCAGGGUGAGUCGACCCCUAAGGCGAGGCCGAAAGGCGUAGUCGAUGGGAAACAGGUUAAUAUUCCUGUACUUGGUGUUACUGCGAAGGGGGGACGGAGAAGGCUAUGUUGGCCGGGCGACGGUUGUCCCGGUUUAAGCGUGUAGGCUGGUUUUCCAGGCAAAUCCGGAAAAUCAAGGCUGAGGCGUGAUGACGAGGCACUACGGUGCUGAAGCAACAAAUGCCCUGCUUCCAGGAAAAGCCUCUAAGCAUCAGGUAACAUCAAAUCGUACCCCAAACCGACACAGGUGGUCAGGUAGAGAAUACCAAGGCGCUUGAGAGAACUCGGGUGAAGGAACUAGGCAAAAUGGUGCCGUAACUUCGGGAGAAGG